GAUGAACGCUGGCGGCGUGCCUAAUACAUGCAAGUCGAGCGAACAGACGAGGAGCUUGCUCCUCUGACGUUAGCGGCGGACGGGUGAGUAACACGUGGAUAACCUACCUAUAAGACUGGGAUAACUUCGGGAAACCGGAGCUAAUACCGGAUAAUAUAUUGAACCGCAUGGUUCAAUAGUGAAAGACGGUUUUGCUGUCACUUAUACAUGGAUCCGCGCCGCAUUAGCUAGUUGGUAAGGUAACGGCUUACCAAGGCAACGAUGCGUAGCCGACCUGAGAGGGUGAUCGACCACACGGGAACUGAGACACGGUCCAGACUCCUACGGGAGGCAGCAGUAGGGAAUCUGCCGCAAUGGGCGAAAGCCUGACGGAGCAACGCCGCGGGAGUGAUGAAGGUCUUCGGAUCGUAAAACUCUGUUAUUAGGGAAGAACAAAUGUGUAAGUAACUAUGCACGUCUUGACGGUACCUAAUCAGAAAGCCACGGCUAACUACGUG
rnacentral:rRNA from 1 species